rnacentral:rRNA from 1 species
GACGAACGCUGGCGGCGUGCUUAACACAUGCAAGUCGAGCGGUAAGGCCCUUUCGGGGGUACACGAGCGGCGAACGGGUGAGUAACACGUGGGUGACCUGCCCUCAGCUCUGGGAUAAGCCUGGGAAACCGGGUCUAAUACUGGAUAUGACUCCAUGACGCAUGUUGUGGGGUGGAAAGCCUUGUGCGGCUGAGGAUGGGCCCGCGGCCUAUCAGCUUGUUGGUGGGGUGAUGGCCUACCAAGGCGACGACGGGUAGCCGGCCUGAGAGGGCGACCGGCCACACUGGGACUGAGACACGGCCCA